rnacentral:rRNA from 1 species
AACGAACGCUGGCGGCGCGCCUAAUACAUGCAAGUCGAGCGAGAAGACGUAGCAAUACGUUUGUAAAGCGGCGAACGGGUGAGGAAUACAUGGGUAACCUACCCUCGAGUGGGGAAUAACUAGCCGAAAGGUUAGCUAAUACCGCGUACGCUCCUUGGACUUCGGUUCAGGGAGGAAAGCGAUACCGUGGGUAUCGCGCUCUUGGAUGGGCUCAUGUCCUAUCAGCUUGUUGGUGAGGAACGGCUCACCAAGGCUUCGACGGGUAGCUGGUCUGAGAGGACGAUCAGCCACACUGGCACUGCGACACGGGCCAGACUCCUACGGGAGGCAGCAGUAAGGAAUAUUGCGCAAUGGGCGAAAGCCUGACGCAGCGACGCCGCGUGGGGGAGUGAAGGUCUUCGGAUUGUUAAACCCCUUUCGGGAGGGAAGAUGGAACGAGCAAUCGUUCGGACGGUACCUCCAGAAGCNGCCACGGCUAACUUCGUGCCAGCAGCCGCGG